rnacentral:rRNA from 1 species
CUACGGGUUGCUGCAGUGAGGAAUAUUGCACAAUGGGGGGAACCCUGAUGCAGCAACGCCGCGUGGAGGAUGACGCAUUUCAGUGUGUAAACUCCUUUUAUAUGUCAAGAAAAUGACGGUAGCAUAUGAAUAAGCACCGGCUAACUCCGUGCCAGCAGCCGCGGUAAUACGGAGGGUGCAAGCGUUACUCGGAAUCACUGGGCGUAAAGGACGCGUAGGCGGGCUUGUAAGUCAGGUGUGAAAUCCUACAGCUUAACUGUAGAACUGCACUUGAAACUACGAGCCUAGAGUAUGGGAGGGGGAGAUGGAAUUAGUGGUGUAGGGGUAAAAUCUGUAGAUAUCACUAGGAAUACCUAAAGCGAAGGCGAUCUCCUGGAACAUAACUGACGCUAAGGCGUGAAAGCGUGGGGAGCAAACAGGAUUAGAUACCCCCGUAGUC